rnacentral:rRNA from 1 species
CCUACGGGUGGCUGCAGUUUCGAAUCUUUCUCAAUGGGGGAAACCCUGAAGGAGCAACGCCGCGUGGAGGAUGACGGUCUUCGGAUUGUAAACUCCUGUCACCACAGAAAAACGCUUUUUGUCUAACACAUGAAAAGCUUGAUUGUAUGUGGAGAGGAAGGGACGGCUAACUCUGUGCCAGCAGCCGCGGUAAUACAGAGGUCCCGAGCGUUGUCCGGAUUUACUGGGCGUAAAGGGUGUGUAGGUGGUCUGGGUAAGUCGGAUGUGAAAUCUCG